rfam:Capsicum annuum cultivar Zunla-1 unplaced genomic scaffold scaffold4217, whole genome shotgun sequence
GCCUGCUUAGCUUAGAGGUUAAAGCAUCACAUUUGUAAUACGAUGGUCAUUGGUUCGAUUCCGAUAGCCGUCU